UUUGAAUUACCGGACAGUUCUCCUGAGAGUUUGUUUAGUUGUUUGAUGACCGAUAUUCGAAAUACGAGACAUCUGUAUGGGAUUCUCUCUCACUAGAUCAGCGUGAGUGGCGCUUUCUCUCACUCUCUGAAUAACGGGCCUCCCACUCUCAGACAAAACAGUAAAAGGUUCUCUCCCUCUGAGACUGGUUCGCUCUUUGCCUCUAUAUUCCUUCCCCUCCCACAGCCCAUCCGCCCACAAGUACAGGUUACACAGGUAUCGGAAAAAUACUUUUCUAUUUAUAAAUGGAAAAUUUUGGAAGACAAUUUUUGAAAUUAAGAAGACACUAUUAUCAUGUACGGUUAACCUAUUCUCUAGAGAGAGAAAAGAAUAUGGUGUGAUAAAAUUUUGGAAGACAAUUUUUGAAAUUAAGAAGACACUAUUAUCACGUACGGUUAACCUAUUCUCUAGAGAGAGAAAAGAAUAUGGGGUUAUCACACCAUAUGAGGAAAACCCCCGUAUAGUUGUUCAGUAUUUCGAAUUGGAUAACUCUUUUAUUUUUAAAAAAAAAUAGUUCUCUCUUCAUGUCGCCAUUUGUAUUGCCGGACACAACUUAGAAAAAUACAGAGUGCUGCUCGUAAUUUUGGAUACAUGAGUUUCCCAUUUGGUAAUUGACCCCCAUGAUGUCUGUACUCUUAAUUUAAAAAUAAAAAAACAAAAUUUGGAACUCAAAAACCUUUGAUCGAUCCACCCCCUUAGAUUAGCUGUGCUGAUCCAUCCACCCUCCUAGAUUGACUUUGCAGGUCCAUUUAAUACAAUGCAUAUUUUUCUUUUCUCCAAACGGAUUUUGCCUGCUGCUGGACUGCCUACAGCACACAGGAGUCGAAACAGGGGAA
rnacentral:lncRNA from 1 species